rnacentral:rRNA from 1 species
UACGUAGGAUCCAAGCGUUGUCCGGAUUUACUGGGUGUAAAGGGUGCGCAGGCGGACUUGUAAGUCAGGGGUGAAAUCUCACAGCUUAACUGUGAAACUGCCUUUGAUACUGCAAGUCUUGGAUCCAGAAGAGAGUUGUGGAAUUCCGAGUGUAGCAGUGAAAUGUGUAGAUAUUCGGAAGAACACCAGUGGCGAAGGCAACAACUUGGUCUGGUAUCGACGCUCAGGCACGAAAGCAUGGGGAUCAAACAGG